GUGCUCAUUUUGGCAGCACACAUACUAAAAUUGGAAAGAUACAGAGAAGAUUAGCAUGGCCCCUGUGCAAGGAUGACAAGAAAAAUGAAAAAUUAUUUUAAAAAAUU
rnacentral:snRNA from 1 species